UACGGAGGUGGCAAGCGUUGUCCGGAAUUAUUGGGCGUAAAGCGCGCGUAGGUGGUUCCUUAAGUCUGAUGUGAAAGCCCACGGCUCAACCGUGGAGGGUCAUUGGAAACUGGGGAACUUGAGUGCAGAAGAGGAAAGUGGAAUUCCACGUGUAGCGGUGAAAUGCGUAGAGAUGUGGAGGAACACCAGUGGCGAAGGCGACUUUCUGGUCUGUAACUGACACUGAGGCGCGAAAGCGUGGGGAGCGAACAGG
rnacentral:rRNA from 1 species